GUCGAAUUAACGUGUGCUUUUCGUGUUGACGUGCAGUAUGUACUUUAUGUUUGUACUAAAGUGACAGUGGGAGAGAUAGACGAUUCCAGAAAAUAACUUGCUCAUUUUGAAUACCACCCACAGUGUACGAAAGGGUUGCACCAUGGAGGAGCUCAUAAAUGACUGCUAAAAGACGAGGGACCCCAGGCGCACAAUGAUUGGCUGAACGAGAGGAGCACACCCUCCGCAUUUGAGCAAGCGCAGAGAUGCUGCACUCUGUAGCCAAUCAGAUGGGAGCACAGCUCCGUCACCAGUUGCCGCUGUGCCUUGGAGCAGUCAACAUCGGUACAAUUUCACUGAUCCCCAGACGCGUGGCGACACGACACGACUGGACAGGCGGCGCAGCCGGCGCUACAGGGCCAGGGGACGAGUCUGCUGGCGGUAUGCCGGCCACGUGUGAGGGGCUGCCGCUACACGGGGGGCGCGCGCGCCCGCUGAC